CACACCUAUAAACAUUAACUUGUCAAUAAAGGUAAUUCAUUAUGUCGCUCCGGCAAUGCUCCGGGGAAUGCUUUCGUGGCUGAAACAAAUUGUCGACUGGAUACCAGAUUGUAUUCUCUAAAAACUAACGCCGAAUCAACCUAAUUCCACAAGAGUAAAGUGAAAUACUCAACAUUUGCACUUGGGCAACUCUGACGUAUACUUAUUAUUAUUAUAUACACAUUAGUGGCUCAAGAGAAUGUUCAAUAAUUCAAGGAAACACACUUGCCUUGAACUGAAUAUAAAGAGCUGUGUUGACUCACUGCAGAACUCAUGCGACAGCCCAGAGUCCACAAGCCGCCUGCCACAUGCCACACGCCGCAUGCAUAUGCAACUCAGUUACGAGUUACGAUUUCGCAAACAAACUAAAAGACUGAAGGACAAUGGACAAAAGUAGGCAGAACGAUGAGCAUGUGAAUCCCGUUUGCAUAACGAGUGACGCUCGAGUGGGCAGCACUUAAGGACUUGAGCAUGGACAUGGAUUUCGGUGACGGGAGUUGAGAGUCGAGAGACGGGUCAUGUGUCUGUGUGGGGAUGACGGAACCAUUACUUAAUUAUCAUAACAGCCAGGGCCAGGAUCGCGCUGUUUUUGGCCAAAAGGGUUAAGAGAGCAUUGCCCAUAAAAAUUGCGCCACACCUAGCAAAGUGAGUGUAUCUAUGUUGUGGUGUGGAGUGGGCAAACACACGCCGCUAAUAAAAUAAUAAAUAUCCUGACUGCCAAAGCCUGGUCAGAAGCACAGCUCGAACAGUGAAGGGGUUAGCCGUGGAAGGAAGUGGGGCGGAGACCGCCCGUCGACACGCGUUGCCCCCGAAAAUGCAAAACAAUUUCAUCAGCGUAAUAUAUAGAGAGAGAGAGAGAGAGAGAGAGAGGCGAAGGCGAAAGGGGGUUGACAUAAUGCUUGCAAAGAGUUCUAUAAAUUGCCAUAUUUUAUGCUUCAGUUGCCGAUGCCAUUUCUGCUUCGUUUCGUUUCGUUUGCUUUCCAUCUUUUUGUCAAUUGAAACGCAAUUUUCAUAAAACACACGUGCGCCAAGCGAUGUGCUGUGGUCUACACGUAUCCGUCAGAUACAUUUUGUAUCUCACGUCUGGGCUUUUGUCAACGCUCUGCGACUAUUUUCAAAUGCUCCUACUCCACGAAAAUAUUGCUCGCUCCGACUGUCGCAAUGUGGCUGCUGUGGCUGCUGUUUUAGCCAUUCCGGCAUUGGCCCCAGCGGAGCCGUUGCCAAUGUUGGCCAAAGCACGUACUGCCAAACUCUAAUGACAGGCAAAUAAAUUUCAAAGAAUAUAUAUUUCGAAAAAUUGAUCUGACGUGUCACGCGACCACAGCAACUACAUAGCCGUCUACUCUUGUUUCUGUCUCUUGCUUUGGUCACCUCUAUUGAACAUUCGAGAAGAUACGAAAUGCGAGAUGCAAAAUACUCAA